rnacentral:rRNA from 1 species
UACGUAGGGGGCAAGCGUUGUCCGGAAUCAUUGGGCGUAAAGCGCGUGUAGGCGGCCAUCUAAGUUUGGUGUGAAAGCCCAGGGCUUAACCCUGGAAGUGCACUGAAUACUGGAAGGCUAGAGGAUAAGAGGGGAGAUUGGAAUUCAUGGUGUAGGGGUGAAAUCCGUAGAUAUCAUGAGGAACAUCAGUGGCGAAGGCGAAUCUCUGGCUUAUUUCUGACGCUGAGACGCGAAAGCGUGGGGAGCAAACAGG